AGUGAACGCUGGCGGUAGGCCUAACACAUGCAAGUCGAACGGCAGCACAGUAAGAGCUUGCUCUUACGGGUGGCGAGUGGCGGACGGGUGAGGAAUACAUCGGAAUCUACUUUUUCUUGGGGGAUAACGUAGGGAAACUUACGCUAAUACCGCAUACGACGUACGGGUGAAAGCAGGGGAUCUUCGGACCUUGCGCGAUUGAAUGAGCCGAUGUCGGAUUAGCUAGUUGGCGGGGUAAAGGCCCACCAAGGCGACGAUCCGUAGCUGGUCUGAGAGGAUGAUCAGCCACACUGGAACUGAGACACGGUCCAGACUCCUACGGGAGGCAGCAGUGGGGAAUAUUGGACAAUGGGCGCAAGCCUGAUCCAGCCAUACCGCGUGGGUGAAGAAGGCCUUCGGGUUGUAAAGCCCUUUUGUUGGGAAAGAAAAGCAGCAGGUUAAUACCCCGCUGUUCUGACGGUACCCAAAGAAUAAGCACCGGCUAACUUCGUG
rnacentral:rRNA from 1 species